AAGGGAAUGUCGUUUCAUAGGCAGGUGCUAUUAUCAUGAGCUUAUAAGGGAACAUUUUUCUCAGUAAGAAAUGUUUCUUUCCCACUCACAGAUUGACUCUCUGCACAGAGCAUGGUGAGGGAGGGUUCUGGCUUGCAGUUUUCUGUAGACCUUAUGAUGAGCUCGAGUUCAAGAAGGAUGUGUCAGAAAGAAAAACGUCAGAGGAGAAUUGAAGUUCUCAUUAGAAAUGCACUAUCCAAGGUUCUGUUCACUGUGCUCUACGCUUCGCCUGCAGACACAUGUUUCAGCAUCCCUGUGUGAGAAGACAGCUUCAUACAAGUCAGGAUGGCCCUUCAAGGUCGGCCUUGUGGUCAGCUGGGCAGAAGGAGCCUCACGGCACUGAGAAAGCACUGACAGUUAAGACAUCCUCCCAUAUGCUUGUGUCCUGAAAUGGCUGUUGUCAAAGAAAAAUUGCACUGGACGAAAUUAAACAGGCAAGGAAGACUUUAUUCAAGACUAUUGCAGCAGGGGAGAGAGAUUGGGCUCAACUCCGAAUAUAACAGAAACAGCUGGCAACCCAUAGUCAGCAGGCGGGGUGAGAAAGUCAGUGGACGGAAAAUUACUAAGAGGAGCUGGGUAGGUAGAAAGAGUGGGGGAUUCUUGUUGAACUGGCUUGGCAGGGUUCUUGCUGAAUUGGGCUCAGCAGGCCAAGUUUCAAGCCUCGUUGGGAAGAGGGUUCGGAGUGAGGGAACAGACCCCUCUUUCUUGUCCCUUGUCUCAGAGGAGGAGGAAGUAAAAGUUGAGAUGUAGCAGCCAUGAGGUCAGUGGCGAGGUUGGCUGGAGCUGCUGAUCAGGCCUGGAGGUUGAAGAUUAAAUCCCCCACCCUUAAUCGCUCUCGUCUCUGCAGAUCACAGGCAUAAUAUGGAGAAACGCCUUCCGUUGUUCUCGAAUCUUGCUCAAACCCCUACCUGGUCACAUACCCCACGCCAACUUCAUCGAUCACGACCCUCUCACAUGUACUUUCUAGAAUUGUAAGCCUUUAAAAGGGCGAGGAUUUUCUUUGUUGGGGAGCUCAGUUCUUGAGAUGCAAGUCUGCCGACACUCCUGGCUGAAUAAAGCCACUUCCUGCUUUAAAUCUGGUGUCCGGGAGGUUUCAUUUGCAGCUUGUCCUGCUACAAGAGGAGCCUGACUAAAGUUUGGUUGAGGAGGGAGUCCUUGUCACCAGAAAGAACAUCCUGCCAUGUGUAUUCUUGGAUAAAACCCACCGCAGCCUCCCCUAUGG